rnacentral:lncRNA from 1 species
CCCAUGCCAACACUUGCACGCAUAAACUAUUUUGCAUCAAGAGUCCUUCACAAUUUGGACUCAUCAUAAUUAGCAUUAAUUUGGGAUGUGGUACCCUAAUUUGGGAUACUUUCAAGUGGCAUGAUCUGGCUCAAUUUCCCACCAAAUUGGGCUAGCUAAUUAGUAAGGGAUGAGACCAAAUUGAUCUCCAAAGGAGCAAGGAUUUCCACACAUGCUAGCAUGCUUAUUGGAACCUUGAUUGAAUCCAAAAUUCCAAUCAAUCUUUUUCAAAAGAGUCCUUAGUCAAUUUUUAAAUGUAUGUGACCCAUUGGGUUCCACAUAUAGCUAGU